GUGUAAAACAUCAGUCUUCAUCUGCGUCCAUCCGCGUUAAUCUGCCGACCUCUGACGGUUAAACUACCUAAAACCAUCACCUCACGACCCCUUCAGUGCCGCAGUUAACACAAUAAGUAAUCCACCGUGGGGAGUACGACCGCAAGGUUAGAAACUACAAAGGAAUUGACGGGGGCCCGCACAAGCAGUGGAGUAUGUGGUUUAAUUCGAAGCAACGCGAAGAACCUUACCAGGUCUUGACAUCCGAUGCAUAUCACAGAGAUGUGAGAAGUCCUUCGGGACAUCGAGACAGGUGGUGCAUGGUUGUCGUCAGCUCGUGUCGUG
rnacentral:rRNA from 1 species